rnacentral:rRNA from 1 species
GGAUGACAGAUUAACUGGAAAGCGGCGGACGGGUGACUAACGCGUGGGUAACCUACCCCAUACACAGGGAUAGCCAUUGGAAACGAUGAUUAAUACCUGAUAACACAUAAUGGUCGCAUGACUAUGAUGUCAAAGAUUUAUCGGUAUGGGAUGGACCCGCGUCCGAUUAGCUAGUUGGUGAGGUAAAAGCUUACCAAGGCGACGAUCAGUAGCCGACCUGAGAGGGUGAUCGGCCACACUGGAACUGAGACACGGUCCAGACUCCUACGGGAGGCAGCAGUGGGGAAUAUUGCACAAUGGGCGCAAGCCUGAU